GUGCUUGCUUUGGCAGCACAUAUACUAAAAUUGGAAAGAUACAAAGAAGAUUAGCAUGGCCACUGCACAAGGAUGACAUGCAAAUUCAUUAAGUGUUACAUAUAUUU